rnacentral:rRNA from 1 species
UGGAGAGUUUGAUCCUGGCUCAGAUUGAACGCUGGCGGCAUGCCUUACACAUGCAAGUCGAACGGCAGCACGGGUGCUUGCACCUGGUGGCGAGUGGCGAACGGGUGAGUAAUACAUCGGAACAUGUCCUGUAGUGGGGGAUAGCCCGGCGAAAGCCGGAUUAAUACCGCAUACGAUCUACGGAUGAAAGCGGGGGACCUUCGGGCCUCGCGCUAUAGGGUUGGCCGAUGGCUGAUUAGCUAGUUGGUGGGGUAAAGGCCUACCAAGGCGACGAUCAGUAGCUGGUCUGAGAGGACGACCAGCCACACUGGGACUGAGACACGGCCCAGACUCCUACGGGAGGCAGCAGUGGGGAAUUUUGGACAAUGGGCGAAAGCCUGAUCCAGCAAUGCCGCGUGUGUGAAGAAGGCCUUCGGGUUGUAAAGCACUUUUGUCCGGAAAGAAAUCCUUGGCUCUAAUACAGUCGGGGGAUGACGGUACCGGAAGAAUAAGCACCGGCUAACUACGUGCCAGCAGCCGCGGUA